CACCCUGCCCAGGCAACUUUACCUUGAACAUGUAGUCACAUGUUCAUUGCUCUUUCAAUGCCUUUUAUAUGCCUGGUCAAAGUUAGACAGAUCCCCAAAACCCAAUUUUGACCAGACAAGACAUCCCUGAGAUGGUUUCAUCAGGAGGCAUAGCCAACAGUACAUUUUCUUUGUCACAGCACUUCCAGUCAGCCAGCUAACUUCAUCAUAGCAGGAGAGCUCAGACGACCUCCUACUUUUCCCCA